ensembl:snoRNA Gm22334 small nucleolar RNA SNORA70
CUACAGCCAAUUAAGCAGACCAGGUUUCUCCAGUCAUGGGGGCCUGGGGAUAAGGGCUGCACACAGUGGCCGCUUUGGGAGUAUAUGUAGCCUGUUACCUUUACAGGUUGCCCUAACAGACCUGGAGACAGUU